rnacentral:rRNA from 1 species
CCUACGGGGGGCAGCAGUGGGGAAUAUUGGACAAUGGGUGAAAGCCUGAUCCAGCCAUGCCGCGUGUGUGAAGAAGGCCUUCGGGUUGUAAAGCACUUUCAGUGGGGAAGAAAGCCUUGGGGCUAAUACCCUCGAGGAAGGACAUCACCCACAGAAGAAGCACCGGCUAACUCCGUGCCAGCAGCCGCGGUAAUACGGAGGGUGCGAGCGUUAAUCGGAAUUACUGGGCGUAAAGCGCGCGUAGGCGGUCUGAUAAGCCGGUUGUGAAAGCCCCGGGCUCAACCUGGGAACGGCAUCCGGAACUGUCAGGCUAGAGUGCAGGAGAGGAAGGUAGAAUUCCCGGUGUAGCGGUGAAAUGCGUAGAGAUCGGGAGGAAUACCAGUGGCGAAGGCGGCCUUCUGGACUGACACUGACGCUGAGGUGCGAAAGCGUGGGUAGCAAACAGGAUUAGAUACCCGAGUAGUC